rnacentral:rRNA from 1 species
AUUGAACGCUGGCGGCAUGCCUUACACAUGCAAGUCGAACGGCAGCACGGGUGCUUGCACCUGGUGGCGAGUGGCGAACGGGUGAGUAAUACAUCGGAACGUACCUUAUCGUGGGGAUAACGCAGCGAAAGUUGCGCUAAUACCGCAUACGCCCUGAGGGGGAAAGCGGGGGACCGUAAGGCCUCGCGCGAUUAGAGCGGCCGAUGUCUGAUUAGCUUGUUGGUGAGGUAAAAGCUCACCAAGGCGAUGAUCAGUAGCUGGUCUGAGAGGACGAUCGGCCAAACUGGGACUGAGACACGGCCCAGACUCCUACGGGAGGCAGCAGUGGGGAAUUUUGGACAAUGGGGGCAACCCUGAUCCAGCAAUGCCGCGUGAGUGAAGAAGGCCUUCGGGUUGUAAAGCUCUUUUGUCAGGGAAGAAACAGCAGCUCUAACACAGUCUGCGAAUGACGGUACCUGAAGAAUAAGCACCGGCUAACUACGUGCCAGCCGCCGCGGUAA